GAUGAACGCUGGCGGCGUGCCUAAUACAUGCAAGUCGAGCGAACAGACGAGGAGCUUGCUCCUCUGACGUUAGCGGCGGACGGGUGAGUAACACGUGGAUAACCUACCUAUAAGACUGGGAUAACUUCGGGAAACCGGAGCUAAUACCGGAUAAUAUAUUGAACCGCAUGGUUCAAUAGUGAAAGACGGUUUUGCUGUCACUUAUAGAUGGAUCCGCGCCGCAUUAGCUAGUUGGUAAGGUAACGGCUUACCAAGGCAACGAUGCGUAGCCGACCUGAGAGGGUGAUCGGCCACACUGGAACUGAGACACGGUCCAGACGCCUACGGGAGGCAGCAGUAGGGAAUCUGCCGCAGUGGGCGAAAGCCUGACGGAGCAACGCCGCGUGAGUGAUGAAGGUCUUCGGAUCGUAAAACUCUGUUAUUAGGGAAAAACAAAUGUGUAAGUAACUAUGCACGUCUUGACGGUACCUAAUCAGAAAGCCACGGCUAACUACGUG
rnacentral:rRNA from 1 species